rnacentral:rRNA from 1 species
AGCGAACGCUGGCGGCAGGCUUAACACAUGCAAGUCGAGCGGGCCCUUCGGGGUCAGCGGCGGACGGGUGAGUAACGCGUGGGAACGUGCCUUCUUGUCUGGAAUAACCCUGGUAAACUAGGGCUAAUACCGGAAACCCCCUUUUGGUGAAAGGUUUACUGCCGGAAUAUCGGCCCGCGUCUUAUUAGCUAGUUGGUGGGGUAACGGCCUACCAAGGCGACGAUCAGUAGCUGGUCUGAGAGGAUGAUCAGCCACACUGGGGCUGAGAAGCGGUCCAGACUCCUAGGGGAGGCAGCAGUGGGGAAUAUUGGAAAAUGGGCGCAAGGAUGAUCCCGCCAGGGCGCGUGAGUGAUGAAGGCCUUAGGGUAGUAAAGCUGUUUUAUCCGGGACGAUACUGACGGUACCGGAGGAAUAAGCCCCGGCUAACUUCGUG